CCCUUAGAUGUUCUGGGCCGCACGCGCGCUACACUGACGAUGGCAACGAGUUUUUCCUUCGCCGAAAGGUGUGGGUAAUCUUUUGAAACAUCGUCGUGCUGGGGAUAGAUCAUUGCAAUUUUUGAUCUUGAACGAGGAAUUCCUAGUAAGCGCGAGUCAUCAGCUCGCGUUGAUUACGUCCCUGCCCUUUGUACACACCGCCCGUCGCUACUACCGAUUGUAUGGUUUAGUGAGGACUCCUGAUUGGCGCCGCCGCCCCGGCAACGGAGCAGCGGACUGCCGAAAAGUUGUUCAAACUUGAUCAUUUAGAGGAAGUAAAAGUCGUAACA
rnacentral:rRNA from 1 species